AGUUUAGGCUCCUAGGAGACUUGAUUCUGGCUGACGUGCUGCGACUGUCAUCUUUCAGAUCAGAGUAACUCUGAGUCUGGUGGGAGUGUCUUCCCCCGACACCCCGUAUACCUCCGCUUUAAGAUGAGAGAAUCUUCUGUCGGUGCUAGCGUUCAGCGGCUAACGGAGGAGGCUUGACUCAACCUGCCGGACACUAAAGGACAUCACUCUGAGCCUGAGGGAGGGGCUCUCCUUUGGUCUCCCUCUUUUGUCCAGCCUUGCCCCAGGAUAUUUUUCUAAGCUGAGUUAGCCACUAGGCACUCCACAUCGCUGCCCGCAUCACCACGCUGCGGCAUCUGCUGUUGCAUCUGCGAUCCACAAGGCCUACACCAUUCGCCAUCGCACCUGGCUGUUUGUUGCAGAUAUUUCUCAGAUUCUCACUCUGUCAUCCAGGCUGGAGUGCAGUGACAUGAUCUUCACUUACUGCAACCUCUGCCUCCCGGGUUCAAGUGAUUCUCCUGCCUUAGCCUCCAGAGUAGCUGGGA
rnacentral:lncRNA from 1 species